AGACUCACCUGGAAGGUGAAAUACCAUGAUCACAAACAUGGUUUCCCCAGGGUGGUGCUUACCCAUUUUGCUCCAGAUAUGUUGACCCCUGCAAUUUGCCCAAAUGUGGAAAACUCACCUGCAUAAUUUGUGGUAGGGGGGCACUGUGUUGAUGUUCCCCCCUA